UGUAUGGUUAGUGGCAGACGGGUGAGUAAUGCAUAGGAAUCUACCUAGUAGUAUGGGAUAGCCACUAGAAAUGGUGGGUAAUACUGUAUAAUCCCUGCGGGGGAAAGAUUUAUCGCUAUUAGAUGAGCCUAUGUCAGAUUAGCUAGUUGGUGGGGUAAUGGCCUACCAAGGCGGUGAUCUGUAGCUGGUCUGAGAGGAUGAUCAGCCACACUGGAACUGAGACACGGUCCAGACUCCUACGGGAGGCAGCAGUGGGGAAUAUUGGACAAUGGGCGCAAGCCUGAUCCAGCUAUGCCGCGUGAGUGAGGAAGGCCUUAGGGUUGUAAAACUCUUUCAGUAGGGAAGAUAAUGACGGUACCUACAGAAGAAGUCCCGGCAAACUCCGUGCCAGCAGCCGCGGUAAUACGGAGGGGGCAAGCGUUGUUCGGAAUUAUUGGGCGUAAAGGGCAUGUAGGCGGUUUGGUAAGUUAAAGGUGAAAUACCAGGGCUUAACCCUGGGGCUGCUUUUAAUACUGCAGGACUAG
rnacentral:rRNA from 1 species